rnacentral:rRNA from 1 species
AUUGAACGCUGGCGGCAUGCUUUACACAUGCAAGUCGAACGGCAGCGCGGGCUUCGGCCUGGCGGCGAGUGGCGAACGGGUGAGUAAUGCAUCGGAACGUGCCCAGUAGUGGGGGAUAGCCCGGCGAAAGCCGGAUUAAUACCGCAUACGACCUGAGGGUGAAAGCGGGGGACCGAAAGGCCUCGCGCUAUUUGAGCGGCCGAUGUCGGAUUAGCUAGUUGGUGGGGUAAAGGCUUACCAAGGCGACGAUCCGUAGCUGGUCUGAGAGGACGACCAGCCACACUGGGACUGAGACACGGCCCAGACUCCUACGGGAGGCAGCAGUGGGGAAUUUUGGACAAUGGGGGCAACCCUGAUCCAGCCAUGCCGCGUGCGGGAAGAAGGCCUUCGGGUUGUAAACUGCUUUUGUUCGGGAAGAAAUCCUCUGGGCUAAUACCCCGGGGGGAUGACGGUACCGGAAGAAUAAGCACCGGCUAACUACGUA